AGUAAUAUAAAAAGAAAAAAGUUAAAAACUGAGUAGAGGUCCACUACAUUUUCUGUGGAACUAGUGGAGUUGACCAAGACCAUGACCUCAUGUGUGCAGCCUACAAUCGGCCCCUGUUGCAUCCAAGUGACCCAGGUUGCCAGUUGUCCACUCAGUCAUAGAACCAUGGUUACAUACUAAACCCUUCCAUUCUAUUUCCUUUUAUUCUGACCUGCCAGGGAAGUUUCCUUUGGAACUUGUGCAGGCCAUGUAUCAAAACUUCAUGUUGCUACUUUACAAAAGUCUGCAUGUGACAUUCCUCUUAGUGAAUGUGUUCCAAACUUUUUUUCAAAGGGGGCCAGAUUAGACCUCAUCAGAAUACCCAAAAUACCCAGAACCACAUGACACCCCCCCCCCCAAUUUCAUAGACCAAAAGUAAUUAGACAAUUAAUCAUUCAUAAUCUAAAUAGUCAAAUUUGAUACUUGUUUGCAAAUCCACUUUAGUCUUUCAAGAACUCACAAAAAAGGUUUUCCAUGAUUAGUGGUUUCCAGCUCUUUUGAAACCUCUCCUUCUCAUUAUUACCUUGGUGCAUUUUGUCUGCAGCCAUGAGUAAAGAUCCUGCAGUAAUUCAUUUGCAGGCAUAAUCAAAGAAAAAAGGCUCUUAAAUUUUAUCUAACUGUGUUAACACGGUCUGCUUCCACCGUCAGGUGAAAAAUUGCACCUAUUAUACAUUCUAAGCCACGGGCUAACGAACAUCUGUCUGCAGGCAGCGUUUGGCCUGAGGCUGGACACCUCGGUCUUAGUGUCACCCACGAGGUAGCCAUAGUGUUUGUCAAAUGGCAAUUAAUUGAAGAAGGCAUCUCUUAGUCUGCAUUUAAUUAUGCUUGUGCAUUUACAGCCCUUAUCCAAUAGUCUAACCUGUCUCUAGAAAGCAGAGCCCUGUUAUGGUGCUCCACAAAGCACAUAAACUUGUGGUUAGCGACCUGCCAGCUGUCUAACACUUUUAAAUAGCUUUCUCAGUGAGGUCACAUCAUCACAUGAUUUGUUCAUAUCACACUUUUACAACCUCAGAAGGCCACUCAGGUGCUUGUACAUUUUGAGACUGGACUAAUGCAACCGCCGCUGGCCCCUGCAGUUUUCCUAAUCUUCCCAAGUCUCGCACACCACCUCAUUACUAUACUCUCUACCUCCCUUCUGGCUUCCUGUUACUACCCACAUUAGAUAUAAAACACCUAUGUGAGAUGCCAUAGUGAGACAUAUUUGAACUCCAGCCACCAGUUCAAACAAAAUGUGCUGACCGAUUAAGCUUACUCAUCUUACUUAUCUUACUCUGUGGUAGCUCAGUGUUUAAGAUGUUGGACUUCUGACCCGAAGGUUAGGAGUUCAAAUCCCAGCACCACCAAGCUACCACUGUUGGGCAUCGAGCAAAGCCCUUAACCCUUAACUGCUCAGUUGUAUAAAUGAGAUAUGUGUAAAUUGCUCUGUAUAAGUACCAUAAAUGGAAUGAAAAAGUAAAACCCACAUUAUAAUCUGCAUCGUCUGUAAACUGGUUCAUAUGGCUUUGCACCAAAUCUGGAUUCCACACUGGAAUCUUUAAGGUUGACUGCAUUCUGCACUUUUAAGAAAAGUUCAGUAGUUAAAGCACUGGUCUGGAUUUAGGGGUUUCUGCCCCAUAUUUUGGACAUAGUGAGAAAAUGUUCAACUGGCGACUGGCAAUACGACCAACAAGUCCCAGGGAACCAAUCAUUUCAAGGUGUAUGGUGUACUGUCCCACAAUGGUCCUACUUAUAGAAACCAACAUCACAUCUCCUGGUGGUUAAUGUAAAACAUCACCGUGGUGUUCUUGUUCUGAAAAUGUUCCUGAAAAUGUUGUAGCACUAGCCAUACAGCGUUCAUGAAUAAUAUGCUGAUGUCAAAAUUCAAAAUUUACAUUACACUCUACAGUGCAGAUUUAACAACAACAACAACAAUAACAACAACAUCAGCAACAACAAAAAAGACAGAGAGAAAAGAGGAUUUGUAUGGUCUGCACACAUGAGGUCACAGCAUGGUGAUGACUUUGUUAUUAGGACUUGAUAAGGAAAGAAGUAAAAGAGGAAAACUCCACUAUUUCCAAUGGAAAUCAUUCUGGUGGCGCAGAACAAAAGAAAGAAGAACAAAGUUCUAGAGAAUUCAUUGUUUCCACUGUAAAAUUGUUCCGAGACCCCUCUAUUUAGAUAAAUAUAAUAAUAAUAACAACAACAAUAAUAAUAAUAAUAAUAAUAAUAAUAAUAAUAAUAAUAAUAAUAAUAAAAUAAAUACUUUUCUGAAAUAUACAGUAUCAUGUUUAAGUUUCAUUGUAUCCUUUGUGAGACUGAUUUAUUAAACGUUAGUAAAGGAAAUCUCACAAUCCACUAGAAAUAAAUAUUUACACCAGUACAGCAUUAACAACGUAUUGGUAAUGUAUAUGUUUACUGAUCACAUUAUGGGGUUAAUCAGAAGGAGCGGAGAGAGUUUACAGCGCUGUAAAUUCUGUUAGAGAUAAAAUCUCGAUGGCCUGGAGUCCGAGAGAGCAGAACUGGGCAUACUCUCUCACCCAAAUUCUUUUACUCCCGGUAUUCCUACGCAUGCACAAUCCAUUUACUGUUUUAAUAUCUUAUUCAUAAAAAAGUCCAAAUUCAUGUGACAAUCACUUAUAAGUAAAAAAAAAAUAAACAAAAAAAAAUCCAAAGAAUUUGGAUAUGUCUUUAAGAAUUUAUGCAUGACAGUGUAAAUAAAAAGAAAUAAGUGAGUUUCGGACUUUCGCAUGUGAAAGGGUCAGGGAUAUUUCAUGCUUUCUUGUGAUAGCUCAGCAUUUCACACGAGUGAAAACGGUUUAAGGCUGAACUGUUGAACUGCCUUCGAGUUGGGUUUUUUCCUACUGAAUGACAUUGCACAUACGUGACUGUUUUAUUUGUGUUUACUCUUGGAAUUUCUUGAUAAAGAUAAAGAGAGGCUGAACUAUACUACAGUCAACACAUCUGAUAGACUUUAGAUCAGGCAUGAUACAUCAUUUUGGAUUUAAUUCUGAUGUCCAGUGCAUGGGAUGUCUUAAACAACAAAAUAAGAUGUUAGGAACCGACCGCUGAAGAUCUUUUAAACAUUAACUAUUCUGAAGGCCACGAGUAAAAGGUCGUGUUCGAAUCAUGCUGCUGAUCCGAUGGGUCAUGACCUGAAGUCGCAAUGUAAAUAUUUGUUUUCAGAUCCACCAUGUUUAUGAAAAUGAAAAUAAUGCUUUCUUUAAUGGUCAGUUGCGUAAUAAAGCACCUGCUACAUGAAUUAAUGUAAAUGUUUAUAUUUUGUAAUUUUAGUGUCAUUUUUAAUUUCCAGGUAAUUUUCAGCAAACACACAGAGCAACACAGCAUAGAAAUAAACACUAACAUUAUCUUCUAUUGGUAAAUAAAAUAAAGCCUUGAGGGAUCUCUGAGGAACACAUUUGUCUAUUAGCAUUUAUCAUUAGUAACUGUGCGUGUGUUUUUGUUGUUGUUGUUGUUUUUAAACACAUAUUUACAUACAAUGGAUAUAAAAAGUCUACACCCCCCUGUUAAAAUGACAGGUUUUUGUAAUGAAACCAAGAUAAAUCAUGUCUGAUCUUUCUCCACCUGUAAUGUGAAAUAGCAACAAGUGACAUUAAAGUGAAAAACAAACAAAUGUUUUCAGGGGGAAAAAAAGAAAAAGAAAAAGAAAAAACUUACAAUAACCUGGUUGUAUAAUCAUGCACACCCUUUUAUAACGGGUCAUGUGACUGUGCUCAGAAUGAACCAAUCACAUUCAGUCUCAUGUUCAAAAGUAAUUAUCGUACAGCUGUCAUCAAUGAUGUGAUUCUGAUUAACCUGAAAUAAAGACCAGCUGUUUCUGUACGAGUUUCUUCACAUCACGGUUUCAUCUGAAUGCUGAAGCCAAAGAGCUUACAAAGCCUGUAUGGGAUCUCACUGUUGAACGGUAUCAAUCAGGAGACACAAGGUACAGAAGAUUUUACAAAACAUUACAUGUAGCAUGGAACAUCGUGAAGGCCAUCAUCAACAAGUGGAGAAAACGAAGCACUACAGUGACAGAACAGGACGUCCCUCCAAAAUUUACAAAAGGACAAGAAAAAAACUUACCAGGGAGGUUGCUGAGGGACCUACAGCAACAUUAAAGGAGCUGCAGGAACAUGUGCUGGAGCCGGGGCUCUGGUCAGGAUAGACGGAAUCAUGGAUAGCUCCAAUACCGAUCUAUUUUGGCAGCAAACCUGCAGGCCUCUGUUAAACAGCUGAAGAUGAGGAAACAUUUCAUCUUCCAGCAUGAUAACGACCCAAAGCACAAAUCCAAAGUCAACAAAGGAACGGCUUCAGAAGAAGAAGUUUGACAUUUUGGAAUGAACAAGUCAGAACCCAGAGCAAAGUCAGUACAAACACUGUCAAAAACACUGAGCGCUGUAUCGCAAGCAAAAUGUGCUUCAACACAGUAUUAGUAAAGGGGUGUGUAUACUUAUGCAAUCGGGUUAGUCCUGUCGUGUACAUACAAGCUGCACGUAUUGUGUAGAAGUGUUUAGUUUGUUCAUUUAUGACUGAUAUUCGACCUUUUUUUCUCCCUCCCACUUCUGUAGGAUUGGCCCGAGGACAAACUGAAUCGUUGUCUGUGUGUUUAUAAAUAAUGUUGACUUUAGUUCACGCUUCCUGAAUGAAAAAGAUGUAUUUUAUCUUAUGUGUUGGUUAAUUAUAACUAAAUAAUACAAUUUUAAUUGUGGGGGUUUUUAAAUAAUAAAAUAAACAUAUUUAAUGCAUUAAAUGAAUUAUUUCCUGUUUGGCUUGUCA